UCAAACCUCUGAAGAAGACUCCUAAUAAUCCCUCAAUGGUGUCAUCAUAAGCACGGUGGUCGUUUGUCUGUUAGUAGGAUACUAGGAUGCUAUGAUGACGUGGCAUCCACGUCAAGUGCUGUUGCCUCGAUAGUCAAGUGCUUCUCUUUUUCUUAUAAGUCCUCUCCUUCACUCCAUCUUUCUUGCCACCAACACACACACUCAAGUUUUCCAUUGAUCCCUUGCUUCCCAUUCCUGUAUGGCAGCCAAACCAGUUGAAGAUGCACGUCCCGCUGCAGAAACCUUGAAGUACCAGACGUGGGUAUUGAAAGUCUUGAUCCACUGCGAAGGCUGCAAGAAGAAAGUCAAGAAAGUUCUUCAGGGAAUCGAUGGGGUUUAUACAACGGAAAUUGAUUCUCAGCAGCACAAGGUGAGAGUGACAGGGAACGUGGAGGCUGAGACUCUCAUCAAGAAGCUCCUGAGAUCAGGAAAGCUAGCAGAGCUUUUGCCUCAAGAAAAGGUCGACAAGAAAGACAACAAGAAGUCUGCAAAAUCCAAAGGUGGUGGUGGUGGUAAAGAGAAAGAGUCAUCAGACCACAAAAAUAUUGAACCCUCUGUGAAGGAAGAUGACCAAAAGGGUCCAGGGAGUGAUAACAACGGUGAAGGUGAGAAGGAGGCUGGCGGUCAAAAGAAGAAAAAGAACAAGAAGAACAAGGGGCAGGAUGGUCCUGUUUCUCCCAAUAAUAACGAUAAUGAGGGUUCUGGCGAAGAAAGCACAAAACCUGAAGCAUUACCAGUCACCGCCAUGGCUUCCUUGAACCCUCCUAGACCCCCACUUCAGCAACCCUACCCGUACGCACCACCACAAGAGUACUAUUCACCUCCACCACCUCAACCAUAUCAAUAUGGGUUAAGCUAUAGCACAGCCUAUCCCAUCUCUGGUUCUUCCUAUUAUGCCCCUGGUUUCAUGCAUUCUAAUUAUAACAUUCCCUACUCUCGCCUGCCGCCGCCGCCGGACUCCUUCAGCCACCGUCAUGUCGACCAUGAUGAGUACGGAGCUGUAUGCUCCGUCAUGUAGUAUUAAUGUUAUAUCACUGAGGGCAAGAGUGGGGUUUACAUUAUAUGUUGUGUUAUGUGCUGUGACCUGUGAGUAAUACUGCUUCGUUGAAAAGAGUGCAGACCAAAAUCACAACUUACAAGAGGAUAUUUUGCAGGAUCAUAGCUUGGAACCAACUGAUCAGAACUUUACAAAGCUUGAGAGAUGUUUUCUGUCAGGGUCGCGUUUAUCAAAUGCCAUGUUGUUGUUAUAUUCUCGCAGGAUACGCUGCCAAAAAAAGAUUUCCCCACCAUAUUUUGCAAGUUCUCCGUUCAAGCCUCUCCUUUUUUGACCUUUUCAGCUUAGUUUCUAGCUUGGAAGUGGAAGUCCCAUUGAAUGAUGAUUCAAAGAAGGUUAUUUAGGUCAAAGAAUGAUUAAUUACAAUAGUUAAUUAUAUUUUAAAAAGUUGUCUUUCACAUACGCUUUAGAUGGGAAAGAUGAAAUAUAUGAUAUGAUUU